rnacentral:rRNA from 1 species
GACAGAGGUGCCGAGCGUUAGGCGGAAUCACUGGGCUUAAAGCGUGUGUAGGCGGAUCUGUAAGUACCUUGUGAAAUCCCACGGCUCAACCGUGGAACUGCUUGGUAUACUGCGGGUCUUGAGCCACCUAGGGGCAAGUGGAACAAACGGUGGAGCGGUGAAAUGCGUAGAUAUCGUUUGGAACGCCAAUGGUGAAAACAACUUGCUGGGGGUGUGCUGACGCUGAGACACGAAAGCCAGGGGAGUAAACGGG